CUAAACUCAUUACUCAAUCUUUACAUCACCGAUGAUGAUUAAAUGCCUACGUAAAUAUAAUAAUGCCCACGUAAAUAUAGUAACGUCUACGUUCCCAAAUUCUAAGGGAUGGAGGUUACAAGAUUACAACAAUCUCACCCUAUAUAAAGAGAGGAUAAGUGGGGGAUCGGGGUGAGUUUUUUUUUUAGAUUUAAUUCACUGCUCUCGAGCUUUAGUUCUCUCAACUGUUCUUUCCGACUGACUUAGAUAUAGGAGGAUCUCCCGCCAGAUAAUUUUCAAGAAGAGAAUAUGUUUUUGCAGAUUUCUAUUUUUUCGAGAUCCAAG
rnacentral:lncRNA from 1 species